rnacentral:rRNA from 1 species
UACGUAGGUGGCAAGCGUUGUCCGGAUUUACUGGGCGUAAAGGAUGCGUAGGCGGACAUUUAAGUCAGAUGUGAAAUACCCGAGCUUAACUUGGGUGCUGCAUUUGAAACUGGGUGUCUAGAGUGCAGGAGAGGUAAGUGGAAUUCCUAGUGUAGCGGUGAAAUGCGUAGAGAUUAGGAAGAACACCAGUGGCGAAGGCGACUUACUGGCCCGAUACUGACGCUGAGGUGCGAAAGCGUGGGGAGCAAACAGG